UUGCGCCUUUCGGAACAAUAUUUAAUUAUCUCUUCUCGUUCGCAGUCGAACAGCUAAAAACGUAAAAAUUUUUUCGUGAAUUUUCACUUCCCAUUCUGCAUUAAACUAAAGUAGUGGUGUGUGUUGAUAAUCCAGGCAAAGUUUUACUAAAUUUUCUCGGCCGAGCUAAAUUUUUUUUUGUUUUAAUCGACCGAAAUGAAGAUAAGUUGCUGAAUCAUCCAAGAUGGUGGAUUGCUGUGUCGAGCAUAAUGAUGUUUAGGUGUUCAUUCCCUAUUUAUUUAAAUAUUUUCGAUUUAUCCAAAGUAAAUUUUGUUAGAAAUUGUUUUGAAGAGAUAUGUAGUCUCGGGUAAUUUAUUAAAUAAGGUCGCCGUGGUCAAGUAAUUGUUAGCGGUGGGGUACAGACAAGUUGGCGCGGUGGGGAGACCACGUUCCGCUGCCCACACAAAGUUGUACACGUAAAUGCAACGCUGCGCUAGAAAUUUCGCAAAUGAAAAUGGCGGUGUACAGCACGAGCGAAAUCGGUUCACUUUCGAAAAUGGUGAUUAGGGCUGCCAUUGAUUACGAUAGGCAAAUUUAGAAUCGAGGGAGAUGUUGGUGUUUCAUAUAGUUAUAUUUGUGUACAUUUAUUUACCUUAUUUGGAUCUGUAUUGAAAAUAUAGCUAACAAAAAAAAAUUA